CUUCCACUAUUUUGUCCCACUCCCACUUGUUUUUUUUUCAUGCUUUUAAAACUCCCUUGUAAAUGAUGUAAAUGAUGACCCUGAGUGAUGUCAUGAUGGACACAAAAUGCUUUGAUCUGUCCUGAAUGAGUCUAAGCCCUUCAGUGAUUAAUUUUGAAACUUUGCAGGACUUGUGUUCAUUCAAUUCAGGGGGCUAUAAAUGGUGAGGUAGAACAUGUGUCCUGUGCAAAAGGGCGGCUCCAGCCCUCCAUCACAUACAUCCUUCAGUGUCCUGAGCCAAAACUCCUCCCCUGUAGUGCAGGUGUUUUGAAUAAGUUGUAAUUCUUGCUGUUCCCCUCAGCCUGGUGGCAGACUUAUCCUAAUGAAGAUGUGCUGUGUGUCAUUCACAGAGCUGUUGGGCUAGCUCGGGAUAAAAUUUUAAGUGGAAGGAAUGCAUUCAUUGGAAUCUAAGUUUUUUAAAAUAUAAUUUUAUUUAGUAAAAUAAAAUAACUCUGAGACUUCCCCUCCUUGGAAUUACACCUGUGCUUGUUCCCUGGGAAAUGCUGCCCUUCCUGGCUGUGGAUGGAUCCAAAACCUGCUGUGGUUUCCUAUGCUGUGUCCUGGAGCACCUGGAGCACCAUAACACUGAGCAACUCUUUUACAGAGAAGGUGAACCUGUGAAACAUCUGUGUCCUCAGGUGAAUCAGGACACCAAGUGUACAGUGCCUGGCUACAGUAACCUGUAAGCCUGCUAGAGGUGCACGCAUCCCAGGAGAGCAGACGUUAAAUCCAGUUAUUCAUGGUCUGUUGGUGAGGACACCAUGAGCUGGUGUGAGGGCUUCCUCAGGUGGACAUGCUGUGUCUUGGAGAUGUGAUGGGAACAGCCGGCCACCCAAGUGCUCUGGUGACCCAGUCCCUCAGCCUCCUUCUCCGCCCUGCUCCACUGGAA
rnacentral:lncRNA from 1 species